rnacentral:rRNA from 1 species
UUUUUAAGAGUUUGAUCCUGGCUCAGGACGAACGCUGGCGGCGCGCCUAACACAUGCAAGUCGAACGGAGUUUUUAAGACCAAUCUCUUCGGAGUGCGGUUUUUGAAACUUAGUGGCGGACGGGUGAGUAACACGUGAGCAACCUGCCCUUAAGAGAGGAAUAACGUUUGGAAACGAACGCUAAUGCCUCAUAACAUAAC